CGAAAGCCUGACGGAGCAACGCCGCGUGAGGGAGGAAGGCCCUAGGGUUGUAAACCUCUUUUCUCUGGGAAGAAGAUCUGACGGUACCAGAGGAAUAAGCCUCGGCUAACUCCGUGCCAGCAGCCGCGGUAAUACGGAGGAGGCAAGCGUUAUCCGGAAUGAUUGGGCGUAAAGCGUCCGCAGGUGGCGAUGCAAGUCUGCUGUCAAAACCCAGGGCUCAACUCUGGUCAGGCAGUGGAAACUACAAAGCUAGAGUCUGGUAGGGGCAAAGGGAAUUCCCGGUGUAGCGGUGAAAUGCGUAGAGAUCGGGAAGAACAUCGGUGGCGAAAGCGCUUUGCUAGACCAGAACUGACACUCAGGGACGAAAGCUAGGGGAGCG
rnacentral:rRNA from 1 species